rnacentral:rRNA from 1 species
UGUAAACGAUGUCGAUUUGGAGGUUGUGCCCUUGAGACGUGGCUUCCGGAGCUAACGCGUUAAAUCGACCGCUGGGGAGUACGGCCGCAAGGUUAAAACUCAAAUGAAUUGACGGGGGCCCGCACAAGCGGUGGAGCAUGUGGUUUAAUUCGAUGCAACGCGAAGAACCUUACCUACUCUUGACAUCCAGAGAACUUAGCAGAGAUGCUUUGGUGCCUUCGGGAACUCUGAGACAGGUGCUGCAUGGCUGUCGUCAGCUCGUGUUGUGAAAUGUUGGGUUAAGUCCCGCAACGAGCGCGACCCUUAUCCUUUGUUGCCAGCGGUUCGGCCGGGAACUCAAAGGAGACUGCCAGUGAUAAACUGGAGGAAGGUGGGGAUGACGUCAAGUCAUCAUGGCCCUUACGAGUAGGGCUACACACGUGCUACAAUGGCGUAUGCAAAGAGAAGCGGCCUCGCGAGAGCAAGCGGACCUCAUAAAGUACGUCGUAGUCCGGAUUGGAGUCUGCAACUCGACUCCAUGAAGUCGGAAUCGCUAGUAAUCGUAGAUCAGAAUGCUACGGUGAAUACGUUCCCGGGCCUUGUACACACCGCCCGUCACACCAUGGGAGUGGGUUGCAAAAGAAGUAGGUAGCUUAACCUUCGGGAGGGCGCUUACCACUUUGUGAUUCAUGACUGGGGUGAAGUCGUAACAAGGUAACCA